rnacentral:tRNA from 1 species
GGUCAGGUACGCAAACUGGUAAAGCGAGCACGUUCAGACCGUGUGAUUUUGUGGGUUCGACUCCCACCCUGACUA